rnacentral:rRNA from 1 species
GUGCCAGCAGCCGCGGUAAUACGUAGGGGGCCAGCGUUGCUCGGAAUUACUGGGCGUAAAGGGUUCGUAGGUGGUGCGGCAAGUUGGAAGUGAAAUCUCUGGGCUUAACCCAGAGGCUGCUUUCAAAACUGCCGCGCUCGAGUGCGAGAGAGGUCAGUGGAAUUGCAGGUGUAGCGGUGAAAUGCGUAGAUAUCUGCAGGAACACCCGUGGCGAAGGCGGCUGACUGGAUCGCAACUGACACUGAGGAACGAAAGCUAGGGGAGCAAACAGGAUUAGAAACCCCCGUAGUCC